AAAACGCAGAGCCCAUAAACUGGGCUUCCUUACAAAGUAAAUCCAACAAGAUUUGGGGAGGGGAAGAAAUCCAGUCCCUCGGCAGAGUUUUGUGGCGCUGAGCUUUUGCGGCCCAGUCCGCUAUGGAGUUGGCUUCACGAUGGCAAUGGGUGAUACGCAACUGUGAGAAGCUAGAGGACAGAUCAAGGCAUUGGGAGAUAAUUGCACGUGCAUCCCAUGGAAUAAGGUCUGAGUUUUCCAUAGCUUUAACCAAAGUCAGAUUGUCUGACUCUAACUCAAGGGGAUAGUGUCUUCGAGGGACUAAGAACUUUAGGGUUUCCAAGAGAGCCACAAAUUCCGCUUGAGAGGCUGAGGAGACAUGGAUUUGUUUUGCAAAGCCAUCCACAAGUGUCCCUUAUGAGUUUCGAACGAUGCAAGCGAUUGCGCCUUCCAUGGAACUUUCGACGAAGGAUCCAUCAAUAUUGACCUUUAAAGAUCCACCCUUUGGGGGCUUUCCAGGUCUCAAAAGAGGUGGGUGCAUCAAGGUCCGAUUUUUGCUUUGAAUUCCAUCUCCUGUAAUUGCUGAGAGAAGUUAGAGCUCCUUGUAGUGCUUGAACUGGGUCUGGGAGCUUCUUUCGAAAGAUAAAGGUGUUGCGGGAAGUCCAAAUAAACCAGAAGAUGGUUGCAACAAGUUCCAAAGAAGGGAUGGUUGAGCCCAUAUUUCUCUUGUCCAGGGACAAAGAAGAAGGAGAUGCUCUGUGGAUUUCACCUGGUCUUUACACAGUGAGCAUAAUGGAUCUGAUACUAUUUUUCGCUUGUGUAAGUUCUCCAUUGUGGGUAGACUAUUCUGACAUGCAUUCCAUAGAAAGAACUUAAUUUUAGGGAUGGUUUCCAUUUUCCAAAUCUUAUUCCACAAAGCUCGAGGAGCCGAGAAAGAUGAAGAGGCCUUUGGAGCUUUUCGGAUAUUCUCAGUAAGUCUUAUGUUGUUGUAGCCACUCUUUACUGAGUAAUUUCCUGUUGAUGAAUAUGUCCACACCAGUUUGUCUUGAAUGGAGUGAGUGCUUAGAGGAAUAGCGAGAAUUUCUUUCACUAUUUCUUCUUCGAACAUAUUUCAAAGAAGAGGUUCAUUCUAGGAAUUUUCUUCGUUGUUUAUAAGCUCUACUACCUUUUGUGGGUCAUUUUCAUUCGAUGGCCCUCCAAUUACUCCUCUUUUCAACCAUCUGUCCUCUCUGAUACUGAUUGCUUCUCCUGUUCCCAUUGUCCACAUUGAAGAUUCUGAGAUUGAGUCUCUUCCCAAUAGUAAGCUUCGCCAGCCCCAAGAGGGUCUAUGCCCUUUCCCAGCAUGCCAGAAACUCUUGUUUGGGACGUAAAUCCCUUUAAAAAUUUGACCCCAUAAAGAGGACGAUUGAUGCAUUAAUCUCCAUGCUUGCUUUCCUAAGAAAGCCUUGUUAACAGAAAGUAAAUCUUUGAAUCCCAUGCCUCCAUUGUCUUUCCUUUGUUUCAAGAAUUCCCAACUCUUCCAAUGAAUUCCAGAGUGAGAUUCUCUGUUUUUCCACCAAAA